UACAGAGGGUGCAAGCGUUGUUCGGAAUUAUUGGGCGUAAAGCGCGUGUAGGCGGCCUCAUAAGUCGAAUGUGAAAGCCCUCGGCUCAACCGAGGAAGUGCAUUCGAUACUGUAAGGCUUGAGUGUCGGAGAGGGAGGCGGAACACCCGGUGUAGAGGUGAAAUUCGUAGAUAUCGGGUAGAACACCAGUGGCGAAGGCGGCCUCCUGGACGAACACUGACGCUGAGACGCGAAAGCGUGGGGAGCAAACAGG
rnacentral:rRNA from 1 species